AAGCACUCGCUCUGUGGUGUUUUGUGUGAACAGUCAUAUAGCUGUUAAACGAAAUGGAAGCUAAAGAAUAUGGAAGUAACAACAAUCGGAAACUCACUGAACUAACUUCCCAGAAAAGUGGAAGGAUACUUUUCCUACCAAACCACGAGGACAUUCUACAACGUGACAAUCCAAGAUGUACUCUUAGAAACGAACUAUUUGGCAAUAAAUCCGACUAUUUCGAGACUCCCCCAUUGAUUUCUAAUAUCGAUGUGACGAACAGAC